CAUACAGGACAAGGAGUUAGCAUUACCGGGAGGUCAUAAAGUUGCGAUGAAUGUUUUGCUCAGACAGAAAAUCAUUUAUUUACAAUAAGAGAAUGAAUCACAGAUGCAU